GUAAGGAAUAUUGGUCAAUGGGAGUAAUCCUGAACCAGCCAUGCCGCGUGCGGGAGGAAGGCCCUACGGGUCGUAAACCGCUUUUGCCCGGGGAUAGUGCGGCCCACGCGUGGGCCGUUGGAAGGUACCGGGCGAAUAAGCAUCGGCUAACUCCGUGCCAGCAGCCGCGGUAAUACGGAGGAUGCGAGCGUUAUCCGGAUUUAUUGGGUUUAAAGGGUGCGCAGGCGGACCGGUAAGUCAGCGGUGAAAUCCACACGCCCAACGUGUGAAGUGCCGUUGAUACUGCCGGACUGGUAUGCCGGGGGCGCGGCCGGAAUGUGUCGUGUAGCGGUGAAAUGCAUAGAUAUGACACAGAACGCCGAUCGUGAAGACAGGUCGCGAACCGGAGAUAGACGCUCAAGCACGAAAGCGUGGGGAUCAAACAGGAUUAGAAACCCUAGUAGUCC
rnacentral:rRNA from 1 species